rnacentral:rRNA from 1 species
UACAGAGGUCUCAAGCGUUGUUCGGAUUCAUUGGGCGUAAAGCGCACGUAGGCGGACAUUUAAGUCAGGGGUGAAAUCCCAGAGCUCAACUCUGGAACUGCCUUUGAUACUGGGUGUCUUGAGUAUGGAAGAGGUGAGUGGAAUUCCGAGUGUAGAGGUGAAAUUCGUAGAUAUUCGGAGGAACACCAGUGGCGAAGGUGGCUCACUGGUCCAUUACUGACGCUGAGGUGCGAAAGCGUGGGGAGCAAACAGG